rnacentral:rRNA from 1 species
AUGUCAAAUCAUCAUGCCCCUUAUGUCUUGGGCUACACACGUGCUACAAUGGCGCAAACAAAGUGAAGCAAAAUUGUGAAAUGGAGCAAAUCACGAAAAGGCGCCUCAGUUCGGAUUGCAGUCUGCAACUCGACUGCAUGAAGUUGGAAUCGCUAGUAAUCGCGAAUCAGCAUGUCGCGGUGAAUACGUUCCCGGGCCUU